rnacentral:rRNA from 1 species
UACGAAGGGGGCUAGCGUUGCUCGGAAUCACUGGGCGUAAAGCGCACGUAGGCGGCUUUCUAAGUCAGGGGUGAAAUCCUGGAGCUCAACUUCAGAACUGCCUUUGAUACUGGAGAGCUUGAGUCCGGAAGAGGUGAGUGGAACUCCGAGUGUAGAGGUGAAAUUCGUAGAUAUUCGGAAGAACACCAGUGGCGAAGGCGGCUCACUGGUCCGGUACUGACGCUGAUGUGCGAAAGCGUGGGGAGCAAACAGG